rnacentral:rRNA from 1 species
GAGCGUUGUCCGGAUUAAUUGGGCGUAAAGAGCUCGUAGGUGGUUGGUUGCGUCGGAAGUGAAAACUGGGGCUUAACCCUGAGCGUGCUUUCGAUACGGGUUGACUUGAGGAAGGUAGGGGAGAAUGGAAUUCCUGGUGGAGCGGUGGAAUGCGCAGAUAUCAGGAGGAACACCAGUGGCGAAGGCGGUUCUCUGGACCUUUCCUGACGCUGAGGAGCGAAAGCGUGGGGAGCGAACAGGCUUAGAUACCCUGGUAGUCCACGCUGUAAACGGUGGGUAUUAGGUGUGGGGUCCAUUCCACGGAUUCCGUGCCGUAGCUAACGCAUUAAGUACCCCGCCUGGGGAGUACGGCCGCAAGGCUAAAACUCAAAGGAAUUGACGGGGCCCCGCACAAGCGGCGGAGCAUGCGGAUUAAUUCGAUGCAACGCGAAGAACCUUACCUGGGUUUGACAUGGACUGGGAGUGCUCAGAGAUGGGUAUGCCUCCUUGUGGGGCUGGUUCACAGGUGGUGCAUGGCUGUCGUCAGCUCGUGUCGUGAGAUGUUGGGUUAAGUCCCGCAACGAGCGCAACCCUCGUUCACUGUUGCCAGCACGUUAUGGUGGGGACUCAGUGGAGACCGCCGGGGUCAACUCGGAGGAAGGUGGGGAUGACGUCAAGUCAUCAUGCCCCUUAUGUCCAGGGCUUCACGCAUGCUACAAUGGCCGGUACAAAGAGUUGCGAGCCUGUGAGGGUGAGCGAAUCUCGGAAAGCCGGUCUCAGUUCGGAUUGGGGUCUGCAACUCGACCCUAUGAAGUCGGAGUCGCUAGUAAUCGCAGAUCAGCAAC